AUUGAACGCUGGCGGCAGGCCUAACACAUGCAAGUCGAGCGGAAACGAAGGGAGCUUGCUCCCAGGCGUCGAGCGGCGGACGGGUGAGUAACACGUGAGAAUCUGCCCAUUAGUGGGGGACAACUCGGGGGAACUCGAGCUAAUACCGCAUAAUCCCUACGGGGGAAAGCAGGGGACCUUUUGGCCUUGCGCUGAUGGAUGUGCUCAAGUCGGAUUAGCUUGUUGGUGAGGUAAAGGCUCACCAAGGCGACGAUCCGUAGCUGGUCUGAGAGGAUGAUCAGCCACACUGGGACUGAGACACGGCCCAGACUCCUACGGGAGGCAGCAGUGGGGAAUCUUGGACAAUGGGGGCAACCCUGAUCCAGCCAUGCCGCGUGUGUGAAGAAGGCCUUCGGGUUGUAAAGCACUUUCAGCAGGGAGGAAGGCUUUGGCCGAAUAGGUUGAAGUACUUGACGUUACCUGCAGAAGAAGCACCGGCUAAUUUCGUGCCAGCCGCCGCAGUAA
rnacentral:rRNA from 1 species